AGAGUUUGAUCAUGGCUCAGAUUGAACGCUGGCGGCAUGCCUUACACAUGCAAGUCGAACGGCAGCGCGGGAGCAAUCCUGGCGGCGAGUGGCGAACGGGUGAGUAAUACAUCGGAACGUGCCCAAUCGUGGGGGAUAACGCAGCGAAAGCUGUGCUAAUACCGCAUACGAUCUACGGAUGAAAGCAGGGGAUCGCAAGACCUUGCGCGAAUGGAGCGGCCGAUGGCAGAUUAGGUAGUUGGUGAGGUAAAGGCUCACCAAGCCUUCGAUCUGUAGCUGGUCUGAGAGGACGACCAGCCACACUGGGACUGAGACACGGCCCAGACUCCUACGGGAGGCAGCAGUGGGGAAUUUUGGACAAUGGGCGAAAGCCUGAUCCAGCCAUGCCGCGUGCAGGAUGAAGGCCUUCGGGUUGUAAACUGCUUUUGUACGGAACGAAACGGCCUUUUCUAAUAAAGAGGGCUAAUGACGGUACCGUAAGAAUAAGCACCGGCUAACUACGUGCCAGCAGCCGCGGUAAU
rnacentral:rRNA from 1 species